rnacentral:tmRNA from 3 species
GGGGACGCGUGGUUUCGACAGAGAGGUAUCCGCCAGACUGCAAGCCGAGGGCGCCAACUUCCUCGAUAAUCCGCUGGCGCAACAUUAACUGGCGAGAAACAACUCGCUAUGGCCGCCUAAAGACGGCCACGUAGCCCCGGUUCUUACCCUGAGGGGAUCGGUGGCUGCGACGCUUACUCGGGGUGCUGUCCGCCUGACGCCGAUUGGUGCGGACCUAAGAUCAUCGGCUGGCCGCUGAGGUAGCCUGACGGAGAGCGAACUCGGCGGCGAGAUCAUAAAUCGCCGACUAAGCUUGUAGACGUCGAAGCGAAACCCUAGCUGGACGGGGAGUUCGACUCUCCCCCGUCUCCACCA